ACUUAAGGAGAUCCAGCCCAUUCAUCGACGCCAGUUCGUUAACUCCUAACGGAUUUACCCAACGAAGGUCACCUGUGUGGAAGUCUGCCGUCACUCACCUGCCGUCCUGAACCGAGCUCAGAGCACUCCAGCCGCAGUGAUCCCUCCAGCCUCGCCACGAGCCACGUCUGGAUUCCCUCCUGUCAAUGGAUUACUCUCAUCAACCCCUCCUGUGAUUAAAACUCACUUACCAAGUCA